rnacentral:rRNA from 1 species
UCGUUCUCUGUUGCCAUCAGGUUAUGCUGGGCACUCUGAGGAGACUGCCGGUGAUAAACCGGGGGAAGGUGGGGAUGACGUCAAGUCCUCAUGGCCCUUACGCGCUGGGCUACACACGUGCUACAAUGGCGGUGACAAUGGGAUGCUAAGGGGCGACCCUUCGCAAAUCUCAAAAAGCCGUCUCAGUUCGGAUUGGGCUCUGCAACUCGAGCCCAUGAAGUUGGAAUCGCUAGUAAUCGUGGGUCAGCACGCCACGGUGAAUACGUUCCCGGGCCUU